CAGAGCCCACAGCCUCCCCAGCCUCCUCCUCACAGUGAAGCUUCAAACUGGGCCCAGGACCCAGGACAGGAGGGUCCUGUGGGCUCACAUUUGCAUAAUGACCAGCAAACACCCCCUGUGCCCAGGAGGCCGGGAGGAGAUAAAGGGACACCCGAGACCAGCACCUGCAAGAGACCGAGGCACCUUGGAAAGUCUCCACCAUGAGCUGGACUCCCCUCCUUCUCCUCCUCGCUCUCUGCCCAGGGUCCAGGUCUCAGGCUGUGGUGACUCAGGAGCCCGGAAUGACCGUGUCCCCCGGAGGGACAGUCACUCUCACCUGUGGCUCCAGCACAGGGGCUGUCACCGAUGGUCACUACCCGUACUGGAUCCAGCAGAAGCCGGGCCAGGUCCCCAGGACACUCAUUUAUAACACAGACAAGAAACACUCCUGGACGCCGGCCCGGUUCUCAGGCUCCAUUCAAGGGGGCAAAGCUGCCCUGACCCUCUCAGGGGCCCAGCCUGAGGACGAGGCCGAGUACUACUGCUGGCUAUACUUCAGUGGUGCUCACCACAGUGAGCGACCCUGA